GACGAACGCUGGCGGCGUGCUUAACACAUGCAAGUCGAACGGAAAGGCCCUGCUUUUGUGGGGUGCUCGAGUGGCGAACGGGUGAGUAACACGUGAGUAACCUGCCCUUGACUUUGGGAUAACUUCAGGAAACUGGGGCUAAUACCGGAUAGGAGCUCCUGCUGCAUGGUGGGGGUUGGAAAGUUUCGGCGGUUGGGGAUGGACUCGCGGCUUAUCAGCUUGUUGGUGGGGUAGUGGCUUACCAAGGCUUUGACGGGUAGCCGGCCUGAGAGGGUGACCGGCCACAUUGGGACUGGGAUACGGCCCAGACUCCUACGGGAGGCAGCAGUGGGGAAUAUUGCACAAUGGGCGGAAGCCUGAUGCAGCAACGCCGCGUGCGGGAUGACGGCCUUCGGGUUGUAAACCGCUUUCGCCUGUGACGAAGCGUGAGUGACGGUAAUGGGUAAAGAAGCACCGGCUAACUACGUGC
rnacentral:rRNA from 1 species